rnacentral:rRNA from 1 species
UACGUAGGCAGCAAGCGUUGUUCGGAGUUACUGGGCGUAAAGAGUAUGUAGGCGGUUGGGUAAGUUUGGUGUGAAAUCUCCCGGCUUAACUGGGAGGGUGCGCUAAAGACUGCCUGGCUCGAGUGUGGGAGAGGAAAGCGGAAUCCCUGGUGUAGCGGUGAAAUGCGUAGAUAUCAGGAGGAACACCUGCGGUGUAGACGGCUUUCUGGACCAUAACUGACGCUGAGAUACGAAAGCGUGGGUAGCAAACAGG